rnacentral:rRNA from 1 species
GAUGAACGCUAGCGGCAGGCCUAACACAUGCAAGUCGAGGGGUAACUAGAGUGAUAGCAAUAUUACUUUGGCUAGACCGGCGCACGGGUGCGUAACACGUAUGCAACCUACCUUAUACUGGGGAAUAACUUCGAGAAAUCGGCGCUAAUACCCCAUAACAUUGCGAAGAGGCAUCUCUUUGCAUUUAAAGCUCCGGCGGUAUAAGAUGGGCAUGCGUCCAAUUAGCUAGUUGGUGAGGUAACGGCUCACCAAGGCUACGAUUGGUAGGGGUUCUGAGAGGGUGAUCCCCCACACUGGUACUGAGACACGGACCAGACUCCUACGGGAGGCAGCAGUGAGGAAUAUUGCGCAAUGGACGAAAGUCUGACGCAGCCAUGCCGCGUGCAGGAUGACGGCCCUAUGGGUUGUAAACUGCUUUUGUACGGGAAUAAACCCUUCUACGUGUAGGAGGCUGAAGGUACCGUAAGAAUAAGCACCGGCUAACUCCGUGCCAGCCGCCGCGGUAA